rnacentral:rRNA from 1 species
GGCCUGGUCGGGCGGUCCGCCUUCUGGUGAGUACUGUCAUUGUGCCGGGUCUCUUCUUCUGGUGAGCUAGUGUGCUCUUCACUGGGUGCAUUAGGGAAUCAGGACUAUUACCUUGAAAAAAUUAGAGUGUUUAAAGCAAGCAAACGCUUGAAUACAUUAGCAUGGAAUAAUGAAAUAGGACGUUCGAACCUAUUUUGUUGGUUUCUAGGAUUGACGUA